UUUAUAAACAUUAAAUUAUUUUUACAAUGAAAAUGUAAUGUUUUUAAUUAAACUAUAUAAAAGCAGAAAU
rnacentral:tRNA from 1 species